GACUGCGCUCGGAGAAGAACUCGGGGCCUGCCACUGGACGGGGGUUCGAUUCCCCCCAUCUCCA
rnacentral:tRNA from 1 species